CAGCAGCCACGGUAAUACGUAGGGUGCGAGCGUUAAUCGGAAUUACUGGGCGUAAAGCGUGCGCAGGCGGUUCGUUAAGACAGAUGUGAAAUCCCCGGGCUUAACCUGGGAACUGCAUUUGUGACUGGCGAGCUAGAGUAUGGCAGAGGGGGGUAGAAUUCCACGUGUAGCAGUGAAAUGCGUAGAGAUGUGGAGGAACAUCAGUGGCGAAGGCGGCCAUCUGGGACAACACUGACGCUGAGGCACGAAAGCGUGGGGAGCAAACAGGAUUAGAUACCCGAGUAGUCCCUGUCUCUUAUAC
rnacentral:rRNA from 1 species